GGGGCUGUAGCUCAGUUGGAAGAGCGUCUCGUUCGCAAUGAGAAGGUCGUCGGUUCGAUCCCGAUCAGCUCCACCA
rnacentral:tRNA from 2 species